rnacentral:lncRNA from 1 species
CCCACUUAGUGGGGUCUGGGGAGGGUAGUAUGUACACAGACCUUACCCCUACCCUGGGGUAGAGAGGCUGUUUCCAAAUAGACCCCAGCAUCCUUCCGUCCAGUAACUUCCCACCUUGCUCUUGGUUAGACUCGAACUCACAACCUCUCGGUUGGAAGUGGGAGUUCCAUACAAUCAGAGCAACUCCUCUUGUUUAGAGUUUAGAGUUUAAGAAAAAAAGAUUUUUUUUACCACAUGCCAAAAGCAUCUUUAGAACUUGCGGUCUAAAACAUGUCAUGCCAUUUCUGUGGCUAUAAAAGCAUGUCGGUAGGUGUAAAAUGAGAGUUUUAAGCUUAAAGACUUCCCAAUUACAUAAAGGUGUUGUUCGUUUUUAUCAUAACAAAAAGGAAAGAGUACAUAUAAA